rnacentral:rRNA from 1 species
CCUACGGGUGACAGCAGUGAGGAAUAUUGGUCAAUGGCCGGAAGGCUGAACCAGCCAUGCCGCGUGAAGGUCAGUGCCCUAUGGGCGUUAAACUUCUUUUGUGCGGGAGCAAUAAUGGUCACGUGUGGCCAGACGAGAGUACCGUACGAAUAAGCAUCGGCUAACUCCGUGCCAGCAGCCGCGGUAAUACGGGGGAUGCAAGCGUUAUCCGGAUUUAUUGGGUUUAAAGGGUGCGUAGGCUGUGAGGUAAGUCAGCGGUGAAAUGCCCCCGCUCAACGGGGUGAAGUGCCAUUGAUACUGCCUGGCUGGAAUGCGGAUGCCGUGGGAGGAAUGUGUGGUGUAGCGGUGAAAUGCAUAGAUAUCACACAGAACACCGAUUGCGAAGGCAUCUCACGAAGCCGCGAUUGACGCUGAUGCACGAAAGCGUGGGUAUCAAACAGGAUUAGAUACCCGAGUAGUC